AAUAUUUGAAGAGCGAGUUGCCCUGCUGUUCACUGGAGAGACGCAGCAUGUGAAAUGAACGGGAUUUGCCACACAAUUGAUUGGUAGCGGAGAUAAUGGUCUUCAGAGAAAACAAGAUAACUGUAAUUGAGCUCAAUCACUCAUGGACAUCCGACGGUCAAUCAAUGGGUUUCUUUGGAGACCUGGAAUAUGUCGGCCUCAUCAGAAGCACCCGAGAAAAGAGCUCAAUUCUCUGCACGUCCAGAGAAACUGUGUUUUAAGAUUGCGGAUAAAAUGAUAAUGAUCCCGGGAAGAGACUGCCACUAAUGCAAAAGAAAUGGAAGGAAUCCGUCAAGUACAGAUUGCAUGCUGGAGGAGGAAUUGAGAAGGAGAUGAGAAAUGGACAUCAGCUGGAAGUGGGAGAGGAAUGGCUUGGGGAGGAGGAAAAUCUCUGAAUGACAAAUUUGUAUGUCAGAGGUACUCUACAUAGAGAGAUUUCCAGUCUCGUUUUGAUACCACAGGAGGACACUGAUCCAUGAUCCAUGAUCACUCUGGAUAAUUGCCUUGGGCCUGUCUCUUUAAACUUACAUUUUUGCAAGCAAAACCCUGUGGAGUCGAGCGAUCUUAAGGAGCUUCUUUCAGUCGGAGUCUAAUGUUUGAUGUAGCACAUUUUCAUGGACCAUUGUGCACGAGGUUCUGUUAUAAAGCACCUUUUAUUUCGAACCAUGCACUGCUUCAUUUGUUUUAAUUAACUUGUUUACAAGAUUUUCCUGCUGCAUGAAUGUGAAUGCAAAACAGCUGCUGCCCAUCGUAAUUUGAUGACAUGAUGAUAUUUCUAAUGUUGAAAUAUGCAUUAAAACGGUCUGCAGUGUGGUCAUCAAAACCAGUUUUGGGUGAAAACGUGGUCUGGAAAAAAAUUAUUUCACACUGGAAUUGGAAAAUCUGGACGACAAGCCUACUUUUGAUUAAACUAAUAAACCAUUUAAACUUAUCCACCUU